rnacentral:rRNA from 1 species
GACGAACGCUGGCGGCGUGCCUAAUACAUGCAAGUAGAACGCACAGUUUAUACCGUAGCUUGCUACACCAUAGACUGUGAGUUGCGAGCGGGUGAGUCACGCGUAGGUAACCUGCCUGGUAGCGGGGGAUAACUAUUGGAAACGAUAGCUAAUACCGCAUAAUAUUGAUUAUUGCAUGAUAAUUGAUGGAAAGAUGCUAUUGCAUCACUACCAGAUGGACCUGCGUUGUAUUAGCUAGUAGGUGAGGUAACGGCUCACCUAGGCGACGAUACAUAGCCGACCUGAGAGGGGUGUCGGCCAACCUGGGACGGGGACACGGCCCAGACUCCUGCGGGGGGCAGCAGGAGGGGAACUUUGGCAAUGGAGGAAAGGCUGAACGAGGAACGCCGCGGGAGUGAAGAAGGGUUUCGGGUCGUAAAGCUCUGUUGUAAGAGAAGAACGGGUGGGAGAUUGGAAAGUUCACACUGUGACGGUAUCUUACCAGAAAGCGACGGCUAACUACGUG